rnacentral:rRNA from 1 species
UAAGGAAUAUUGGUCAAUGGACGCAAGUCUGAACCAGCCAUGCCGCGUGAAGGAUGAAGGUCCUCUGGAUUGUAAACUUCCUUUAUCUGGGACGAAAACGGGAUUUUUAUCUCAAUUGACGGUACCAGAGGAAUAAGCACCGGCUAACUCCGUGCCAGCAGCCGCGGUAAUACGGAGGGUGCGAGCGUUAUCCGGAUUUACUGGGUUUAAAGGGUGCGUAGGUGGGCUUAUAAGUCAGUGGUGAAAUCUCCGAGCUUAACUUGGAAACUGCCGUUGAUACUAUAGAUCUUGAAUUAUCUGGAGGUAAGCGGAAUAUGUCAUGUAGCGGUGAAAUGCUUAGAUAUGACAUAGAACACCAAUUGCGAAGGCAGCUUACUACAUAUAAAUUGACGCUGAGGCACGAAAGCGUGGGGAUCAAACA